UAGUGAGUUUGAUCCUGGCUCAGGACGAACGCUGGCGGCGUGCUUAACACAUGCAAGUCGGACGGACUCCAUUCAGUAGCAAUACUGAGGAAGAGUUAGUGGCGAACGGGUGAGUAACACGUGAGAAACCUAUCCUGGUCUCUGGGAUAACAGUCGGAAACAACUGCUAAUACCGGAUGCCGUCGGAGCGUCGCAUGGCGCGCUGACGAAAGGGUUACUGGAUCAGGAGGGUCUCGCGGCCUAUCAGCUAGUUGGUGGGGUAAUGGCUCACCGAAGGCGACGACGGGUAGCCGGCCUGAGACGGGCGACCGG
rnacentral:rRNA from 1 species